AGCGAACGCUGGCGGAAUGCUUAACACAUGCAAGUCGCACGCCCUGCAAGGGGAGUGGCGGACGGGUGAGUAACGCGUAGGAAUAUGUCCAGAGGUGGGGGACAACCCUGGGAAACUGGGGCUAAUACCGCAUAUGGGCUGAGGCCCAAAGCAGUGAUGCGCCUUUGGAGUAGCCUGCGUCCGAUUAGCUUGGUGGUGGGGUAAAGGCUUACCAAGGCGACGAUCGGUAGCUGGUCGGAGAGGACGACCAGCCACACUGGGACUGAGACACGGCCCAGACUCCUACGGGAGGCAGCAGUGGGGAAUAUUGGACAAUGGGCGCAAGCCUGAUCCAGCAAUUCCGCGUGGGUGAAGAAGGUCUUCGGAUUGUAAAGCCCUUUCGACGGGGACGAUGAUGACGGUACCCGUAGAAGAAGCCCCGGCUAACUUCGUGCCAGCCGCCGCAGUAA
rnacentral:rRNA from 1 species